rnacentral:lncRNA from 1 species
UGUCUUAGCGAGCACACUUCCCCUUUAACCCAUAGGUAGCCGAGCUACGAAGACUCUGAUUCUCAGAUUCAGAUGAGAUACGUAUGCAGUGGAUGCGACAUCCGUGCGAGUCAUUUUCUUUUGACCUUUCUUUUAGUAAGUAGUACAUUAGAUAAACAUACACGCUUUUCUCAUCCCUUCAAUCAUGUUUGCACAAAUAA